GAUGAACGCUGGCGGCGUGCCUAACACAUGCAAGUCGAACGAAGCACUUAAGUUUGAUUCUUCGGAUGAAGACUUAUUUGACUGAGUGGCGGACGGGUGAGUAACGCGUGGAUAACCUGCCUCAUACAGGGGGAUAACAGUUAGAAAUGACUGCUAAUACCGCAUAAGCGCACAGUACCGCAUGGUACAGUGUGAAAAACUCCGGUGGUAUGAGAUGGAUCCGCGUCUGAUUAGCUGGUUGCGGGGUAACGGCCCACCAAGGCGACGAUCAGUAGCCGACCUGAGAGGGUGACCGGCCACAUUGGGACUGAGACACGGGCCCAAACUCCUACGGGAGCAGCAGUGGGGAAUAUUGCACAAUGGGGGAAACCCUGAUGCAGCGACGCCGCGUGA
rnacentral:rRNA from 1 species